rnacentral:misc_RNA from 1 species
AAGUCGUAACAAGGUUUCCGUAGGUGAACCUGCGGAAGGAUCAUUAACACGUUUAUAACGUAUCCAUAUAUCAACUAACACCAAACGGUCACUGUAUCUCCCCAGUCACUAGCAUGCUUGAUCACACAGAACUUGGUAUUUAUGAAGUUGAGCAGACGCUUUGUUAACUCAACUUUGUACUUCUGUGAGGAUGUUCGAACUGUAAUGUUCGAUAAGUGGUAUAGCACUGGGAUAAUUCUUUUUUAUCUAACCUCAUUUACCAGGGGGAAGACUAAAGAGAGCAACUUAACUUAUUUCACCUAACUUAAUACCAUUUGACUAAUUUUCUAUUCACUUAGAGAAAUCUAAGUCUGAAUUGAUUUAUCUAAACUAAGCACAACUCUUAGCAAUGGAUAUCUUGGUUCUG